CGCCUCCACGCCACGCCUGCUCGCCGAAGCCGCGUCCGAGGCUCCGGCUGCCGCCACCGCCUCUGCCCCGGCUAUAAAGGCGCGCCCUUUGGCCGCCCCGCUCCUCCUCCUCCUCUCUUCGUCCGCGCCGCGCCACUCGCCUCCUCGCCGCGCUCUGGCCGGCCCGCUCCUCCUCCUCCUCCUCUCUUCGCCCGGGCCGCGCCUCUCGCCUCCUCGCCGCGCUCGGGCCGGUCUGCUGCUCCUCCACUCUUCGUCCGGGCCGUGCCGUUCUCCUCCCCGCCGCGCUCUGGCUGGUUUGCUGCUCCUCCUCCUCCUCCCCCUCUCCUCAUCCGGGCCGUGCCUCUGUCCUCCUCGAGUCGCUCGUCCUCCAUCGAUUCGUCCGUUUAGAACCGCGUCUGGAUUUGGUUUUGCUCGCCCUCGCCGUCGCCGGUUUAGAUAGAAGAAUCCCGCCUGGUCUGAUUUUGCUCCUUCUUGCUGUCGUCCGUUUAGAAUCGCGUCUGGAUUUGAUUUUGCUCGUCCUCGCCGUCGCCGGUUUAGAUAGAACGCCGCCUGGUUUGAUUUUGCUCGUUCUCGCCGCCGUUCGUCCGUUUAGAGUCGCGUCUGAUUUGAUUUCGCUCGUGCUCGGUUCGUCGGUUCAGAAUCGCUUCCGAGUUGAUUUUGCUCGUCCCCGCCGUUCGUCAGUUUAGAGUCGCUUCCCCUGAUUUGGUUCUGCUCGUCCUGGCCGUCGUCCGUUUUUCCUCGCCCCCGUCGUCGCCCCGAUGCGCUCGCGUGUUCUUGGUCCGUCUCGUCGAGGGUCUCCGUCUGGUUUGUGAUUGAGAAAUUUCUGCGUGCGCUUCUUCUGUUGUCUGAGAGACACUUUGGAUCCUGCGUUUCUUGUUCGUGUCAGCGCGAGUGUUACAGGAACGGCCGAGUCUUGGUUUUGAAAUUGGGUUACGGCCGGAGAUGAGGAAACGGAGAGCAACUGUCAGUUUGUCGUGCUAGUUCAGAUCUCAAACGACUAGCUUGUUCGUGUUCGUCCGUCAGAGACGUGCUCUUUGAUACUCUGGUUCCUCUGUCGAUUCUGAAUGUACCGGCUAGCUUGUUUCCCUUUGGGCAGGCGUGUGUGCUCUCAUCCUAGAUGCAGGGGUGAUUCUUUACGGUUCUUCUUAUGGGUGUUACACUGUUACUGCUUCUGUUCUUUUCAAUUGGUUAUUACUUCCUAUCAAUGCUUUGCUUCUGUUCCCAUAUAUUGCUAGGCCGUGGGUGCCAUUUCUUGCAGGCAGGCAGAGCAGAAAAGUUUUAAAAGAUUGCAAACCAUGUGGCAUGCUGCCUGACUAAUUGAACACCUGUUGCUGCUACUGUUGGACAAGGUUUCCUUCUGUUAUUCCUCGUGUUGCUAUUUCCAUUUUCAUACGAGUACUAUAUGAGGUGCUGGUAGUUAGUUCCCCUUAGACUUCGUUCUAGAUUGCAUAGCAUAACUGCAGAAAUUUUUCGUUGCACACCUGGGCAUAUAAUUCCACUGUGAGCAUAACUUCAGAAUUUAUUUAUCUGUGAAAGCACUUUCGUCACAUGUUUUUUAUCAAUGCUGCUCACUUUUGUCACGCCCCUUUUGUUUGUCCUGUUAAAUUUGAUGGAGCAAAUUUUGUACUCACUGGUUAAAAUGUCGAGAAUGCUGACUUCUGUAUUUGUCGCUAUGUUUGUUUAUAACCUGGUUGUGAUCUAAUAUAGUGUAAAUCUGCUAAUUUUCUUAGUUUGAUUUAUGUUCAACGCAAGUAACAUUUAUUUAGCCAAAUUUUGCUACUUCUGAGAACUUUGUUUUUAGAUGUGUUGUAUCCAUAAUUGCCUAUUCUGAUAUUUGCAUUGAUCUUUCUAUAUAAAGUCAUUGGCAUGUCAUGUUGUGACCUAUAUACCUCUGUGGUUGGCAGUAUCUUUGCCCUUUGAUUCUGCUCAUCCUCGCUGUCGUCAGUUUAGAGUCGCGUCUGAUUUGAUUUUGAUCUCCUCGUCGUCGUCCGUUUAGAAUCUCGUCUGAUUAGAUUUUAUCGUCCCGUCUGAUUAGAUUUUAUCGUCCUCGCUGUCGCCCUGAUGCGCUCGCAUGUUCUUGGGUCGUCUCGUCGAGGGUAUCCGUCUGGUUUGCGAACUAAAAUUUCUCUUUGAGAAAUUUCUGCGUCCAUUUCUGUUAUCUGAGAGACAUUCCAGAUCCUGUGUUUUCUGUUCGCGUCGGCGUGACGGUUGUAAGAACGAUCAGGUCUAGUUUCGUAAUUGGAUUACAUACGGAGACGGGGACCAAUGUCAGUUUGCCGUGCUAGUUCAGAUUGGUUUCACUUUCUGGAACUUCUUUAUAGCUUUCUGAGUUUAAUACUUGGAUCUUGCAUGUAUUAGCUUUCUGUUUGUACCCCUAUCUAUGUCUGACUGUGUGUGUGUGUGAUGUGCUCCUAUCUAUGUAUGUUUCUUUGUCUGUUUCAUGUGUGCAAGCGUUCCAUUGUCUGUGUGUGACUGUGUGUGUGAUGUGCCCCAAUCUAUGUAUGUUUCUUUGUCUGUUUUAUGUGUGCAAGCGCUCCAUUGCCUGUGUGUGACUGUGUGUUUGACUGCUUAGAUGGGGUGAUUCUGAUUGUGUUACUGCUUAUAUGGUCUGUCCAAUUGGUUCCUUCUUCAUGCUUUGCUUGUGUUCCAAUGUCGUCUCCCCAUAUAUGGGGAUGUGUUCAGGGAUGCAAACCAUGUAGGCCAUUUCGAGCAGGCAGGGAUCCAGAGACGUGCAUUGGUCAGGCUUCUCUCCUACUGAUAGAUGAUAAUAGGCUGAGCAGGAAAAAUUGACUCUUGUAACACUCACUUGCUUGGCUUCCACUCCUUUGCGUGGCCGAUUUGGCAUCCAAUGCAUCCCAUGCCUAUCUUAUUUCUCACUCACUCAUCACAGCACCCAUUUCCCUGUUUUUGUUCCUUAUUUUCCUUGUCAUAAUAGUCAUGUUUACCAUGGUGUUUGACAAUGCAUUAUUUGUCAUAUCUGUAUUUCGUUAUGUCUUAUGUGGAUAUCAUAUACUUUUUUUUGUAUUACUGCUGUUCAGUCCACUGGAAUAAUGCUUUUCUAAGUAUUUCAGGUAGGAUAUAGACAAAUGUCACAUUUGCUCUUCCUUUUGUUGCUAAGGACACUGAUUGGUUGGGUUUGCUUACAGCGCAGGACAGAUAAUUCUAUAAAGAAUCAUUGGAAUAUUUCUUUGAGAAAGAAGUUAGAUGUCUGGCACCAGAAAUAUUUUGGCAAUUCGAAGACUUCAUGAUGACUUCAAGAAUAAACAGAAGACGGCUUCUUCUGAGGGCCAUCUUGAUCUGAACAGCUCAUCAUUCUAAUUUUAGCUCACCUCUACAGUCAUACAAACUGGCAUGCCGAGGACUGCUCAGGGUUCCUAUCGCUUUCUGUUUUACCAACUAAGGGGUGUAUGGAGGUUUUCAUGAUGGCUAAUUUGAUUAAUUAUUAUGGUUGUUCUGAUGGUGUGCUUCUGCUGUUUGAACUGAAGUUGUGUAUCGCCCAUCAACCUGGUCUGUGUUUGUAUGCUGAAUUAUUUCCGGAUAGGACAGAGGUGCAAUGUUUACAUCCAUGGCAGAAGGUUCUUUAACACCGAACUCAUCAAAGGUCCUUGGGCUCAAAAGGAAGAUAACAAAAUUAUUGACCUUGUUAACAAGUAUGGACCAACAAAAAUGAUCUCAUUGCAAGUGGACGUAUAGGCAAGCCAUGUCGGGAGAGGUCAGCUACUAGAACUUCCUGCUACUGAUCCUGGGAUGUUCCAAACAUGCUCCGGAACAUGUUCAAUUUAUCCACCCUAGGACAGCCACUGCCAUGACACAACAGGUAUGCUUGAUUUUUAGGCUACUUGGCAUGCUCAGCGUGUUUACGUCGGUGGACUUCCUCCAAUCGCUAAUGAACAGAUGGUUGCUCUAUUCUUCAAUCAAGUUAUGGCUGCUAUCGGGGGAAACGCAUUUGGUCUAGGUGAUGCAGUUGUUAAUAUGAAGCUGAUUUUUGAAUUCAUACAAAAACAUCUUAGGUGGCUUAAUCAUCUGAUUGUGUGUGUGUGUGACUGACUGACUGUGUGUCUCUGUGGCUGUGUGUCUGUGGCUGUGUGUGUGUGUGACUGACUGUGUGUUCUAUGUCUUGUGUGUGUGACUGACUGUUACUGUGUCGUGUGUGUGUGACUGUGACUGUGUGUGUUGGCUGACUUUGUGUGUUGGCUGACUGUGUGUGACUGACUCUGUGUGUUGGCUGACCCUGUGUGUGACUGUGUGUUUGUUUGUUUGUUUGUUUGUUUGUUUGUUUGCUUCAUGGUCUGUCUUGUAUGCUUUGCGUGUCUUGUAUGCUUUGCGUGUCUUGUAUGCUUUGCUGAAUGAUUGCUGUUGUAUGAUUGGUGUUUUGUUUGUU